CACCGCACCGGGAGCAUGCUUUAUGACCUGGUCUUUUCCUUUCCUCCUCCUCCCAGUUUGUGGCCACCUUGCUCCUGGCUAACUAAAGCUGCUUCCGCCAGCCGUUGGGCUGCACUUGGCCUAAGAGUAUAACUGCAAAUGGAAAUGAACCAACCAGGUCAGUGCAGGCUCAGAAGACCUCAGCUUGAAUCUCAGCUCUACCAGUUACAUACAAUGUGACCAUGAGUCACCUAUUUACAUGAUAUGGCCUUGAUGGUUUUUACCUAUAAAGUGGGGAUAAAAAUACCUUUGUAAAAGGAAAUAAUUGAAGGCAGAUUGAAUUAGAUAAUGUAUGAGAGUGUUUAGUCCUGGGGCUGGCACACCCUGAGUACUUAAGUGGUAGAUAUUUCAUUAUUUUUAGCUGUUCUCUGUUUGAAAUGAAAGUAGAACAAAAGAUUUUCUGAAAGAAAAAAAAAAGAAGAAAAUUCUAGCUGAGGCUUGACAAGUUACCAGGUAGUGAUUUGGAGGUUGAAUCAGGGAUGCUGAGCAAUGAGCUAACGUCUGGUCCAUGGAUCGGCAGCAUCAGCAUCACCUGGAGCUUACUGAAAUGCAGACUCUCAUGUCCCAGUCCCAGCACUCUGAGUAAGAAUGCACUUGUCAACAAACAAAAUCCCUGGUGAUCCUUGUACUCCUCAGAUGACACAUUUGGAGAGGCCUUAUGUUAUCACUCCCAAUACCAUGUCCCUCUUUCCUGUGCUAACAGGUGUCUUCCUGCGGACAGGUGGGCGCUGUGAGAGCAGGGAGCACAGAGGAACAGUGAGGAUUGGGGCUGAAGCCAGGAGGAAGCUGUGCCCCCAGCUGAAUAGAGGUCUGGCUGCACUUCCCACUUCUAACCAGCAGAUGGCAAGCGUGUUUCUUCUCAAAGGCCUUUGAAUUGCUUGACAUGGUAAGUCUUCUUUUCCAAAAGAAGCCAGAACAGAUCACCAUCCUGCAUCUCUACCACCACUGCAUCAUGCUAAUCAACUGGGGUCUGGAGUCAAAUACGUGCUAGGUGGUCAAAACACGUGAUGCAGUUGAGGCAGCCCUGCCCAGGCCCUCGUGAGGCAGCCUCUCUCUGCUGGGCUGAGUCCCCCAUGUGGGAGGGUCGGUUUGUGGCCAUAGCUGCCCGCUCCUCCUACCUCUUCACUGAGUGCUCCUUCCAGGAUGGAUGCAGCAUGGCCGUGCUCCUGUUCCUCCUCAGCCUCUCCACCCGCUUCCUCAACAUCUACCACCAGACAUAUCUGAGGAGAAGCUGACUUAAAUGGCAGGAUCCAAGGACUGAAACGCGCAGAGCCAUCCUCACAGAGACCGUGUGGCUCACCUCACCUGCGCUGAGCAGGUACCUGAGCCUGUACUGAGUC